rnacentral:rRNA from 1 species
GCUCAGUAACACGUGGAUAACCUACCCUUAGGACCGGGAUAACCUUGGGAAACUGAGGAUAAUACUGGAUAGACAAUUAUUCCUGCAAUGGUUUUUUGUUUAAAUGUUUUUUCGCCUAAGGAUGGGUCUGCGGCCGAUUAGGUAGUUGGUUAGGUAACGGCUUACCAAGCCAUUGAUCGGUACGGGUUGUGAGAGCAAGAGCCCGGAGAUGGAACCUGAGACAAGGUUCCAGGCCCUACGGGGUGCAGCAGGCGCGAAACCUCCGCAAUGUGAGAAAUCGCGACGGGGGGAUCCCAAGUGCCAUUCUUAACGGGAUGGCUUUUCAUUAGUGUAAAGAGCUUUUGGAAUAAGGGCUGGGCAAGACCGGUGCCAGCCGCCGCGGUAACACCGGCAGCUCUAGUGGUAGCAGUUUUUAUUGGGCCUAAAGCGUCCGUAGCCGGUUUAAUAAGUCUCUGGUGAAAUCCUGUAGCUUAACUGUGGGAAUUGCUGGAGAUACUAUUAGACUUGAGACCGGGAGAGGUUAGAGGUACUCCCGGGGUAGAGGUGAAAUUCUGUAAUCCUGGAAGGACCGCCUGUUGCGAAGGCUUCUAACUGGAACGGUUCUGACGGUGAGGGACGAAAGUUAGGGGCGCGAACCGGAUUAGAUACCCGGGUAGUCCUAACCGUAAACGAUGCGGACUUGGUGUUGGGGUGGCUUUGAGCUGCUCCAGUGCCGAAAGGAAGCUGUUAAGUCCGCCGCCUGGGAAGUACGGUCGCAAGACUGAAACUUAAAGGAAU